rnacentral:rRNA from 1 species
GAUGAACGCUGGCGGCGUGCCUAAUACAUGCAAGUCGAGCGAACGGACGAGAAGCUUGCUUCUCUGAUGUUAGCGGCGGACGGGUGAGUAACACGUGGAUAACCUACCUAUAAGACUGGGAUAACUUCGGGAAACCUGAUCUAAUACCGGAUAAUAUUUUGAACCGCAUGGUUCAACAGUGAAAGACGGUCUUGCUGUCACUAAUAGAUGGAUCCGCGCUGCAUUAGCUAGUUGGUAAGGUAACGGCUUACCAAGGCAACGAUGCAUAGCCGACCUGAGAGGGUGAUCGGCCACACUGGAACUGAGACACGGUCCAGACUCCUACGGGAGGCAGCAGUAGGGAAUCUUCCGCAAUGGGCGAAAGCCUGACGGAGCAACGCCGCGUGAGUGAUGAAGGUCUUCGGAUCGUAAAACUCUGUUAUUAGGGAAGAACAUAUGUGUAAGUAACUGUGCACAUCUUGACGGUACCUAAUCAGAAAGCCACGGCUAACUACGUG